rnacentral:rRNA from 1 species
CCGGCUAAUUUCGUGCCAGCAGCCGCGGUAAUACGUAGGGUGCGAGCGUUGUCCGGAAUUAUUGGGCGUAAAGAGCUUGUAGGUGGCUCGUUGCGUCGGGAGUGAAAACCCGCGGCUUAACCGCGGGCCUGCUUCCGAUACGGGCGGGCUAGAGUUCGGCAGGGGAGACUGGAAUUCCUGGUGUAGCGGUGGAAUGCGCAGAUAUCAGGAGGAACACCGGUGGCGAAGGCGGGUCUCUGGGCCGAUACUGACACUGAGAAGCGAAAGCGUGGGGAGCGAACAGGAUUAGAUACCCUGGUAGUCCACGCCGUAAACGUUGGGAACUAGGUGUGGGGUCC